rnacentral:tRNA from 1 species
GGUGGGCUCAGUGGUAGAGUGCUUGCCUUGCAUGCAUGAGGUCCUAGGUUCGAAUCCGCAGCACCA